rnacentral:rRNA from 1 species
UGCAGUCGAACGGUGACGAUGGAGCUUGCUCUGUCUGAUCAGUGGCGAACGGGUGAGUAACACGUGAGUAACCUGCCCCCGACUCUGGAAUAACCGUGGGAAACGACGGCUAAUACCGGAUAUGAGACGCACAGGCAUCUGUGGGUCUGGAAAGAUUUAUCGGUCAGGGAUGGACUCGCGGCCUAUCAGCUUGUUGGUGGGGUAAUGGCCUACCAAGGCGACGACGGGUAGCCGGCCUGAGAGGGCGACCGGCCACACUGGGACUGAGAUACGGCCCAGACUCCUACGGGAGGCAGCAGUGGGGAAUAUUGCACAAUGGGCGCAAGCCUGAUGCAGCGACGCCGCGUGAGGGAUGAAGGCCUUCGGGUUGUAAACCUCUUUCAGCAGGGAAGAAGCGAAAGUGACGGUACCUGCAGAAGAAGCGCCGGCUAACUACGUGCCAGCAGCCGCGGUAAUACGUAGGGCGCAAGCGUUGUCCGGAAUUAUUGGGCGUAAAGAGCUCGUAGGCGGUUUGUCGCGUCUGCUGUGAAAACCUGAGGCUCAACCUCGGGCUUGCAGUGGGUACGGGCAGACUAGAGUGCGGUAGGGGUGACUGGAAUUCCUGGUGUAGCGGUGGAAUGCGCAGAUAUCAGGAGGAACACCGAUGGCGAAGGCAGGUCACUGGGCCGCAACUGACGCUGAGGAGCGAAAGCAUGGGGAGCGAACAGGAUUAGAUACCCUGGUAGUCCAUGCCGUAAACGUUGGGCACUAGGUGUGGGGCUCAUUCCACGAGUUCCGUGCCGCAGCAAACGCAUUAAGUGCCCCGCCUGGGGAGUACGGCCGCAAGG